GGCCAGGUCGUGUAGUUGGUAACACGCUUGCUAUAUAUGCAGAAGCACUGGGUUCAAUUCCCAGUCUGGCCA